AUCACUUCUCAGCCUUUUGGCUAAGAUAGAGUGUAGUAUCUGUUCCUAUCAGUUUAAUAUCUGAUGUAUCCUCUGUCCGAGGACAAUAUAUUACAUGGAUUUUUGGAGCAGGGAGAUGGAAUAGGAGCAUGCUCUGUCCACUCCACACAUUGACCUGGUAUUGCAGUACCUCCAAGAACGGUGUUCCCCUC
ensembl:snRNA RNU2-57P RNA, U2 small nuclear 57, pseudogene